rnacentral:rRNA from 3 species
CGCAGACUCUCGAUUGAUGAUCGGUGCUUGCACCGAGAUUCAACAUGGAACGAGUGGCGGACGGGUGAGUAACACGUGGGUAACCUGCCCUUAAGUGGGGGAUAACAUUUGGAAACAGAUGCUAAUACCGCAUAGAUCCAAGAACCGCAUGGUUCUUGGCUGAAAGAUGGCGUAAGCUAUCGCUUUUGGAUGGACCCGCGGCGUAUUAGCUAGUUGGUGAGGUAACGGCUCACCAAGGCGAUGAUACGUAGCCGAACUGAGAGGUUGAUCGGCCACAUUGGGACUGAGACACGGCCCAAACUCCUACGGGAGGCAGCAGUAGGGAAUCUUCCACAAUGGACGCAAGUCUGAUGGAGCAACGCCGCGUGAGUGAAGAAGGCUUUCGGGUCGUAAAACUCUGUUGUUGGAGAAGAAUGGUCGGCAGAGUAACUGUUGUCGGCGUGACGGUAUCCAACCAGAAAGCCACGGCUAACUACGUGCCAGCAGCCGCGGUAAUACGUAGGUGGCAAGCGUUAUCCGGAUUUAUUGGGCGUAAAGCGAGCGCAGGCGGUUUUUUAAGUCUGAUGUGAAAGCCCUCGGCUUAACCGAGGAAGCGCAUCGGAAACUGGGAAACUUGAGUGCAGAAGAGGACAGUGGAACUCCAUGUGUAGCGUGUG